rnacentral:rRNA from 1 species
CCUACGGGAGGCUGCAGUGGGGAAUAUUGGACAAUGGGGGAAACCCUGAUCCAGCGACGCCGCGUGAGUGAAGAAGUAUUUCGGUACGUAAAGCUCUAUCAGCAGGAAAGAAAAUGACGGUACCUGACUAAGAAGCCCCGGCUAACUACGUGCCAGCAGCCGCGGUAAUACGUAGGGGGCAAGCGUUAUCCGGAUUUACUGGGUGUAAAGGGAGCGUAGACGGCAGCGUAAGUCUGGAGUGAAAGGCCGGGGCCCAACCCUGGAACUGCCCUGGAAACUGUGUAGCUGGAGUGCAGUAGAGGUAAGCGGAAUGCGUGGUGUAGCGGUGAAAUGCGUAGAUAUCAGGAAGAACUCCGACUGCGAAGGCAGCUUACUAAACUGUAACUGACGUUGAAGCUCGAAGGCGUGGGGAGCAAACAGGAUUAGAUACCCGAGUAGUC